rnacentral:rRNA from 1 species
UACGUAGGCAGCAAGCGUUGUUCGGAGUUACUGGGCGUAAAGGGUGCGUAGGCGGCCGUGUAAGUGUGGUGUGAAAUCUCCCGGCUUAACUGGGAGGGUGUGCUACAGACUGCAUGGCUAGAGUGUGGGAGAGGAAAGUGGAAUUCCUGGUGUAGCGGUGAAAUGCGUAGAUAUCAGGAGGAACACCGGUGGUGUAAACGGCUUUCUGGACCAUAACUGACGCUGAUGCACGAAAGCGUGGGUAGCAAACAGG